UACGUAGGGCGGAGCAGUGUUCGGUGAAUUAUUGGGCGUAAAGGGAGUGUAGGCGGUUGGGUAAGUCUUCUGUGAAAGCUGUGGGCUUAGCCUGCAAAGUGCAGAGGAAACUGUCUAACUAGAGUGUCGGAGAGGAUAGGGGAAUACCCAGUGUAGAGGUGAAAUUCGUAGAGAUUGGGUGGAACACCAGUGGCGAAGGCGCCUGUCUGGCUGACAACUGACGCUGAGACUCGAAAGCAUGGGGAGCAAACAGG
rnacentral:rRNA from 1 species